CUUGGUCAUUUAGAGGAAGUAACGGUUGUAACAAGGUUUCCGUAGGUGAACCUGCGGAAGGAUCAUUAACAAUUGAUGCGCGGACAUUUUGUCUGCACAUUUUCCCGGGAUUGCAAAAUCCCAAGGCUACAUAUGCGCGUGUUUGUAUGACUGUUUUGAUGAGUUUAAUCUUAUACAACUUUUAACAAUGGAUCUCUUGGCUCUUGCAACGAUGAAGAACGCAGUAAAGUGCGAAAUGUAAUGCGAUUUGCAUGAAUCUGUGAGUCAUCAAGUCUGUGAACGCAGCUUGCACUCUCGGCGUAAGUCAAGAGUAUACCUGUUUGAGAAUUGUAUCCCCUUCACACACUUGCUGUGUGGAUGUGACCAUUUAGACAAUGGUUUAAAUGAAGGAGAGGAGCGUCGAGUGUGCUACAAGGUGCCUCGUGUGAUAGAGACCUCUGGGUCUACUCACUGGGUUGCCGAGUAGUCGCUUGACACUAGCGCCUCUAUAAACUUCUUCUCUUCAAUCUCAAAUCAGGUAAGGCCACCCGCUGAACUUAAGCAUAUCAAUAAGCGGAGGA
rnacentral:rRNA from 1 species